rnacentral:rRNA from 1 species
UCAAGCAACUAAGCGCAUACGGUGGAUGCCUUGGCAGUCAGAGGCGAUGAAAGACGUGGAAGCCUGCGAUAAGGCUCGGGGAGCUGGCAAACAAGCUGUGAUCCGGGCAUUUCUGAAUGGGGAAACCCACCGACUUUCGGGUCGGUACCUUACACUGAAUCCAUAGGUGUAAGGGGCGAACCGGGGGAACUGAAACAUCUAAGUACCCCGAGGAAAAGAAAUCAACCGAGAUUCCCUAAGUAGCGGCGAGCGAACGGGGACUAGCCCUUAAGCUAGACAACUGGUAGGAGAAGGCUCUGGAAAGUGCCGCCAUAGUGGGUGAUAGCCCCGUAUCCGAAACCUGAGUCUGGUGAAAUCGAGUAGGACGGGACACGUGAUAUCCUGUCUGAACAUGGGGGGACCAUCCUCCAAGGCUAAAUACUCCUGACUGACCGAUAGUGAACCAGUACCGUGAGGGAAAGGCGAAAAGAACCCCUGUGAGGGGAGUGAAAUAGAUCCUGAAACCGUAUGCGUACAAGCAGUCGGAGCGGACUUGUUCCGUGACGGCGUACCUUUUGUAUAAUGGGUCAGCGACUUAUGUUCAGUGGCGAGGUUAACCGUUUAGGGGAGCCGUAGGGAAACCGAGUCUGAAUAGGGCGAUUUAGUCGCUGGGCAUAGACCCGAAACCGGGCGAUCUAUCCAUGAGCAGGUUGAAGGUGCCGUAACAGGCACUGGAGGACCGAACCCACUGUCGUUGAAAAGCCAGGGGAUGACUUGUGGAUCGGAGUGAAAGGCUAAUCAAGCCCGGAGAUAGCUGGUUCUCCCCGAAAGCUAUUUAGGUAGCGCCUCGGACGAAUACCACAGGGGGUAGAGCACUGUUUCGGCUAGGGGGUCAUCCCGACUUACCAACCCGAUGCAAACUCCGAAUACCUGUGAGUACUAUCCGGGAGACACACGGCGGGUGCUAACGUCCGUCGUGAAGAGGGAAACAACCCAGACCGCCAGCUAAGGUCCCCAAGUACCAGUUAAGUGGGAAACGAUGUGGGAAGGCUCAGACAGCUAGGAGGUUGGCUUAGAAGCAGCCAUCCUUUAAAGAAAGCGUAAUAGCUCACUAGUCGAGUCGGCCUGCGCGGAAGAUGUAACGGGGCUCAAACUGGUCACCGAAGCUGCGGCUGCAUACUUUGUAUGCGGGGUAGGGGAGCGUUCUGUAAGCCUGCGAAGGUGUGUUGAGAAGCAUGCUGGAGGUAUCAGAAGUGCGAAUGCUGACAUGAGUAACGACAAUGCGGGUGAAAAACCCGCACGCCGGAAGACCAAGGGUUCCUGCGCAACGCUAAUCGGCGCAGGGUGAGUCGGCCCCUAUGGCGAGACCGAAAG